rnacentral:rRNA from 1 species
AGCGAACGCUGGCGGCAGGCUUAACACAUGCAAGUCGAGCGCCCCGCAAGGGGAGCGGCAGACGGGUGAGUAACACGUGGGAACGUGCCUUUUGGUUCGGAACAACCCAGGGAAACUUGGGCUAAUACCGGAUAAGCCCUUACGGGGAAAGAUUUAUCGCCAAAAGAUCGGCCCGCGUCUGAUUAGCUAGUUGGUGGGGUAAUGGCCCACCAAGGCUACGAUCAGUAGCUGGUCUGAGAGGAGAUCAGCCACAUUGGGACUGAGACACGGCCCAAACUCCUACGGGAGCAGCAGUGGGGAAUAUGGACAAUGGGGGCAACCCUGAUCCAGCCAUGCCGCGUGAGUGAU